GGGGAGCCGAGACAAUGAGUUGGUCUGAGGACUAGGGGACAGUGGGCUGGGGAGACGAGACAAUGAGGUGGUCUGAGGGCCAGGGGACAGUGGGCUGGGGAGACGAGACAAUGAGGUGGUCUGAGGGCCAGGGGACAGUGGGCUGGGGAGAAGAGACAAUGAGCUGGUCUGAGGGCCAGGGGACAGUGGGCUGGGGAGAAGAGACAAUGAGCUGGUCUGAGGGCCAGGGGACAGUGGGCUGGGGAGAAGAGACAAUGAGCUGGUCUGAGGGCUAGGGGACAGUGGGCUGGGGAGACGAGACAAUGAGUUGGUCUGAGGGCCAGGGGACAGUGGGCUGGGGAGAAGAGACAAUGAGCUGGUCUGAGGGCCAGGGGACAGAGAUACAAUGGGGCUGCAGGAUACAGACACAAAUACAGUCCCAAUGACAUCUGCUCCCCUCCCCUCCCCGCCCCUCCCUUCUCUCCUCUGCUCCUCUCUGACUGUCCCUUACCCCC
ensembl:lncRNA